rnacentral:rRNA from 2 species
UUGGAGGGCAAGUCUGGUGCCAGCAGCCGCGGUAAUUCCAGCUCCAAUAGCGUAUAUUAAAGUUGUUGCAGUUAAAAAGCUCGUAGUUGAACUUCGGGGUCUACCCAUUGGUCAGGCUUAAUUGUCUGCACUGGUGAGAUGGAUCUCUACCUUCUGAGGAACUUUCAUGCCAUUUAUUUAGUGUGAUGGGAAAUCAGGACUGUUACUUUGAAAAAAUUAGAGUGUUUAAAGCAGACUAUCGUCUGAAUACAUUAGCAUGGAAUAAUGAAAUAGGACGGACUGAUUCUAUUUCGUUGGUUUCUAGGAUCACCGUAAUGAUUAAUAGGGAUAGUUGGGGGCAUUAGUAUUCAAUUGUCAGAGGUGAAAUUCUUGGAUUUAUUGAAGACUAACUACUGCGAAAGCAUUUGCCAAGGAUGUUUUCAUUAAUCAAGAACGAAAGUUAGGGGAUCGAAGACGAUCAGAUACCGUCGUAGUCUUAACCAUAAACUAUGCCGACUAGGGAUCGGACGAAGUUAAUUUUAUAAUGACGCGUUCGGCGCCUUACGGGAAAC